rnacentral:rRNA from 1 species
ACCCGCUGAACUUAAGCAUAUCAAUAAGCGGAGGAAAAGAAAACAACUGUGAUUCCCUCAGUAGCUGCGAGCGAAACGGGAAAAGCUCAAAACCGAAUCUGGCCACUCUUACAGUGGUCCGAAAUGUGGUUUAAGGACUAAACUAGGGUUGGGUGCAGCGAUUUAAAUCACUUGGAACAGUGUGCCAUAGAGGGUGAUAGCCCCGUGAGUUUGUUGCCGCUUCGAUCCAUAUGAGGUUAGUUCCAAGAGUCGUACUGUUUGAGAGUACAGUGCUAAGAUGGGAGGUGAGUACCUCCUAAAGCUAAAUAUUAGUCUGAGACCGAUAGCGUACAAGUACCGUGAGGGAAAGUUGCAAAGAACUUUGAAAAGAGAGUUAAAAGAACCUGAAAUCGUUAACGGGGAAGGGCUCGGGCGAAUCACGGCCGCUGGGUGAUCUUCCUGUCAGUGCGGAGGGAACCGUUCUGCUGAGCCGCUUUUUUGCGGUCGGCGGUGCGGGGACUGUAUGCCUGGCGGGUCUAUUCUCCUAUGCCGGGUGGAUCUGGCGACUUGCGGCCGAUUGCGGCCUUCGCGUGGUACUUGUGAGGCGGUUAAUUCUGUUUUGCAGGGCAAAAGCGGGGGU